rnacentral:rRNA from 1 species
CCUACGGGAGGCAGCAGUGAGGAAUAUUGGUCAAUGGACGAGAGUCUGAACCAGCCAAGUCGCGUGAAGGAUGACUGCCCUAUGGGUUGUAAACUUCUUUUAUAUGGGAAUAAAAUGUUCCACGUGUGGGAUUUUGUAUGUACCAUAUGAAUAAGGAUCGGCUAACUCCGUGCCAGCAGCCGCGGUAAUACGGAGGAUCCGAGCGUUAUCCGGAUUUAUUGGGUUUAAAGGGAGCGUAGGUGGAUUGUUAAGUCAGUUGUGAAAGUUUGGGGCUCAACCGUAAAAUUGCAGUUGAAACUGGCAGUCGUGAGUGCGGGAGAGGUGGGCGGAAUUCGUGGUGUAGCGGUGAAAUGCUUAGAUAUCACGAAGAACUCCGAUUGCGAAGGCAGCUCACUGGACUGCAACUGACGCUGAGGCUCGAAAGUGUGGGUAUCAAACAGGAUUAGAUACCCUUGUAGUC